UCUCUCUCUCUCUCUCCCUCUCUCUCAGUAUUAGGGUUCAACUCCUUUUUCACACACACAGAUGAUGAUGACGAUUAUCGAAAUCAUUUAUCUUCUUUUAUCCUAAAUCAGGGUUGAAUGAUUUGUUGACUUCAGAGAUCGCAAAUCCCAAAUCAAGCCGAUCAAUUUAUUAGGCCGCAGGAACACCCAGCUUCUCUUGAUUCCAUUUUAGAACUGCUUCUGCAAUGAGAGACAACUUUUAAGGGCUUACAACUGAAGGCUCCAUCUAUGUACUCUGUGAGAAAUGCUUGAAAGACACUGGUUUCUUAGACUCAAGGAACCAAGGGACGGGGUUAGUGAGUCCCAAUUUAACUAUUUUAGGAACAUUGAGCUAGACUAAACCAUAAAGGCUUGCGAAUUUCUCAAUAAGGAUGCCCGUUACAAGCCUCCUGAGUUGAAAUCGUAGCCAAAGUUUAUAGUGAUUACUGCACAAGAAAAUUGUCACAUCAAGUUCUUUUUAGAAUGAAUCUCCUAAUAAUGUUCCACCUGGUUAGGUGAUUAUUGAGGGAAUAGUGUUGGUGUUGUAGCUAGGGGCUCGUGAACUACAGUGUUCGAAGAAACUGAGAUUGUGUUUUCUUCUAAUUGCAACAUAAUAUUUCCAACAGUCUCCAGUACGAGAUUCUUGAACUCUUCUUCUGGCACAUUUUCUCAUCAUUUGCACCGACCAUCUUGAGCACCUUAUUCACUAUGUGAUAGCAUACAUCAAUUUUGCAUAAGACUAUCAGGAAUGAACACAACUAGUAAUUGGUAUGAAGAUUUGUUGAACCUUAGAUGCGGUUUUCCAAUACUGAGGCGAGGUUUGUUAUUUACCUGAUUGACGGCUCCAUAGGGAGGUAAACUAGCUGAUGGGGCCAGUGAAUCCGGAGCUACACGCAGAUACUCCUUGGACAGUUCCCCACUGCGAUUUCUUGAUACCAAAGAAGCACUACGGCGAUAUCUGUUGGAUAUGAUUGGCUAUAAAAGGGGUUGGAAACAAUCAGCAGAAAACAUCGCUGGUCCAAGACAAUCCUGCACUCUACCUGCACUAUAAAAUUUCAGAGAGGAUCUUUUUAGAUCCUCUCCAACCUUCUAUUCACCCCGGCUCGAGAAUCACCACCAUCAGUACUUCAUUCACAUCAUCUACACCUCUCGAACAUAGGAGAAUUGCCUCACACCUGUUUGUGAAAACAUUCAACAACUCAUCUCUAAAACUCACCACCAGUUUCCCUCACAACUGAAUUCAUCCCGUCACCACCAUACAUUCCACCUCCACAGACCACCGACACCUCCAUCAAUCUAUCGCCAGUUCCUUCAGUACUAGGGCUGGCAAUGGAUAGCCGAAAUCCGAUAUCCGUUUCCGAAAAUCCGACAUCCUAUAGGAUUUAAUCCGACAUAUCGGAUAUCGGAAUCCAAUAGCUUAUCGGAUAAUACCUCUUAUCGGAAUCGGAAUCGGAAUCGGAUUGGGGUCAUUCCGUUAGGUUAAUAUCCGACAUCCGAUAGCCUAGGGGUGUACUUGUAAUCAUACGUUUUAGGCUAUUAGUUUACAUGUUUAUGUUCUCGUCUUUCUUUCCCAUUUUAUUUUCUCUCGGCUACUCCUCCUUUCUCGAUUCUCAGUGAAGAUGUUCACCGCCAUCUCUCUCAACGCACCAAUCAAUCACCACCUUUCCUUCUUCUCCUUCUUCUUCUUCUUCUUCUUCUUCUUCUUCUUCUUCUACUUCUUGUUCUUCGAUUUAGCCAAUCACAGAUCCACAACAGAACAGCCGAAUCAUGAACCAUCACCAGUUCACCUCCACACCAGUAAAAGAAAUAACUUAAUAGAAGUUGCACAAUCUUUUGAGAUAUUCAAAGCUGCUUUUCUGAAGAUUGAUUUGGAUAAUUGCAAGAUAUGAAAGUCAUCGACUGAAGUUGAUGCAAUGAUGCAACAUGUAACCAGGCAGCCAAGGAAGAUCAUCACUAGCAAGUUGUUUGACAUUAUUGUUAAGUCUGUGUACAAGAAGACAUGGAUUUUUCUUUUUUGCUGUUGUGUACUUUAGUUUGCAGACUGUUUGGUUGGGUGUUUGUAGUUUUUUUUUUCAUGUGUGAUGUGACUGAGACACUGGAGUAGUGUUUGCGUGGGUUUUCUGUCUUUCAGUUAAGUUAAACACUUGAAAAUUCCAUUAAAUUUCAGCUUUUGCUUCUGUCCAA